AUAAUAAAAUAAUAAUAAUAAUAGUAAUUAAUUAAUUAAUUAAUUAAAGAAUGGACGUCGAGUGACUGGACAUCCGACACUGUUAUAUUAUAUAUACACAUAUUAUAGACAUAUAUAUAUAUAUUAUAUAUAUAACUACACACACAAAUACACGCACGCACACACACAUACACAUCGCAUUUUAUAUGUAUACAUAUUCGUUCGUGUCACGAAAAAAAAAUCGUGAUUCGGAGAUAAAGAAAGAAUGAAGAGAACGAAUUGAAAUCGAACGCGAACAGACGGAUCGACGCUGGCGCCAUUUUGCUUAGUUAAUAAGAGAAAAAGAAAUGUUUAUUUUUCCUUUUCAUUUAAUUCUUCCUUAUCGAUUUAUUUAUUCCAAUACUCGUUGAUAAAAGUGUCUGCGAUAUCGUACGUAAUGAAAGAAAUAAAAAGAAAUAAUAAUGUCGAUCGUAUUAAAUUUAUGAUCGGUAUAUAGCUAUUCAACAUAUCAACACGAUUUUCAAUAUUACUACAUAGAUACGUAUCGAGGAGUAAAUUUUUCCAUAUUGAGAUUAAUAUAGGUCACUAGGGUUGAUUCAGAUUGAUCGAGAAUCCAUUCGGAGAAGUUUCAAUCAAAUACUUAGAUCGAAUCUCGAACGAGAAUUUUUUUCACGAGUUUACAAGUUACAAACCGUACGAUCAAACUUCGCGAAAUAAUAAUUCGCCGUGAAUAUAUGAGCUUCCCUGGAUCCUCCGUAAAAUUUUAGAUCCAUUGUGCGAGUAAUCCCAAACGUUGUACUAACAUAUGAGCUUAUGCAAAUAUGCUUUCCUCGUACGUGGAUGGCUAAUGCAAAUUUAGCAUUUUGAUUACCGACCCGUUCACGAAGAACGAUCAUUUUUGCAAAUGUAUCAGAGAUCAUAUUAUUAGGAUCUUUAAUGAUUUCGUAAAGCUCAAUUGAUUUAACCCGUAUAUCUCGUAAUAUUCCUUAUAUGAUAAAUUGAACUUUUUGAGAGAAAAGAAAAAGAGAGAGAAAUAGAGAAAAGAGAAAGUGAGAGAGAGAGAGAGAGAGAGAGAGAGAGAGAGAGAGAGAGAGAGAGAAAGGCUAUGAGAAAAUUAUUUUUGGAGGUAAAAUAAUUCGAUAAUAACCGUCAAACGAGUGACUGCUUCUCGUCAAUGUCAUUGGGCAUGAAAUAGUCGUAGUUAGUUACACGAUUUAUAGGCAAGUACGGGGGAAAGGCCUGUAAAUUAAUCGGCGCCUGUCGACCGAACGUCGUUUCUCGUUCGUGCCAAAUACGUAGUAUUUUUGGGGGAAUGAAAGGUCAUCGAUCCGAGCUCUGAUUAACGUGACAAAUUAUUCGACAUAUAUAUGUAUGCAUGUAUGUCUUUAUGUAUGUACGUAUGUACGUACGUAUGUAUGUAUGUAUAUAUCUCUUUGUGUAUAUCUCUGUGUGUACGAAAACGUAUCAAUCGGACGUCGGACGAUAUUAGCAUAAAAAAUUUAAUGAUUACUCGGAGAUUUGAAGUCAAAGUCGAAAGAACUCGGUUUACUCUUUCUAGAAUUCCAGAGCUGCCGGAUCGAUCGUGAAAGACCGAAUAAGGUAGGUAGGUAGGGAGAUAGGUUGGUACAUACUCUGGAUAGAUGGAUGCAAAAUACAGAACCCUUGUUCAUGGAGAUCAAAGGAACCGGUAAAAUAAGAAAGACGAAAGUGAAAAUUGAUAAGAAAAUUAUAAUAACUCGCAAAGGUUUCAUACGUUAUCCUCGCGAUUGGAUUUUCUUUUUUUCUUUUCUUUUACUUUUUUUCAUUGUUUUUCUUUUUUUUUUUUUCUUUUCUUUUUAUCCAAGAUUCUUCGUUUAUUGCGAAAACAAACGAAUUUAUAAUACGAGAUAUUACCGUAUAGAAGGAAAAUUGUUUGGAUUAUUUGAGAAUGAUGAAAAUUAAACAUCGAUCAUGUGCCUCGAAUUUAUUCGAUUAUAUUACUGGCGUUAUUUCGUUCUGGCCGGGAAGAAAAACCGUCGGGAAAUCGUACGAAAUCGUCGUUCGUAUCGACCAUGAGAAUGAAUCGUUAAGUAGACUCCACGACAAUGACGUACGGACCGUUAAAUCGGUCGGAUGUCCCGUUUUCCUCUCUCUCUCUCUCUCUCUCUCUCUUUCUAUUUUCGUACCGAAGACCCCACCACUGUUCCAUUUCUCACCCACCUCAAGCCCAUAUAAUACGAUAAUUUAACGGGAGGCAUUAUUGAACGUUGCAGCUGCAAAAUAUUUCAACGGGCUCGGGAAAGCCGUCGUGCAACAACCACAUCCGCCGGCAGCACUGGCAGUGUUCGUGAUAAAUUUAAUUAUUACGCCGCUCCACGGUUAUCCGCCGUGGUCGAAUAACGAAAAAUCGGACUUCUCGUUCUCUGAUUCUCGUCUCUCUUUCUAUCUUUGUUUCUCUUUAUCCGUAUCUCUUUAUCCGUCUCUUUGUCCGUCAUAUGUUUCUUUUUCUUUUUUCCUCCAUAAAUGAAACCAUCGUUUCGAAAGUUUAUAUUCGAUGUCAUAAAUUUUCAAUCUUAUCUCGAUUACAUGAAAAAAUUUCAAACUUUUCAUAACGACGCUUUCUCUUUGAUAAAUAUUAGAGUAAAAGAAAUGGCUUUCCCACGAUUAAAUGUUUUCUUUCCUCUUGAAACGAAAAUUGCAAGUCUCCCUCUCUCUCUGUAUUCUUAAAUAAAAUUUCUUUCGUCUAUGCCCGAGUUGAAAUAAUAAUUCUACACAAUUUUUCAUUCGAUAGAAGAGGACUGGGGUGAGGGAGGUGAUGAUAGAGAGAGAGAGAGAGAGAGAGAGAGAGAGAGAGAGAGAGAGAGAGAGAGAGAGAAGAGGAGAGAGGAAAAAGGUAAAUAUAAUAGAUAUAUACGAACGGUCCUAUUGUAUUUAAAAAAACUUGUUGAAAGGAGUAAAACGAAGGAUACUCCAAAUUCCUAUUGUUAUUCCAUCGAUUAAAACGAAAUAACCGAAUAAACGUAAAACAACGAUCCACUCGAGAGUAUUAAAUAUCACGAUUUUUUAUAACCACUUAACGGACUUUCGACAUCGCGCCGGCCAUCGAAAAUGUCGACGACUAAAAUUGUUUUUCUUUGGAGAGGUAAAAACGACGAGAGGUGAAAAUUUUCAAUUCAUGCUAUCACCAUAGUCAAAAGCGAUCGACGAGAUUGUAUCGCGAAGGAAGAGAAUCGUGAGGUGGAGAAUGAAGGGGAGUGAAGGUGGGGGUGGUAGCUAGGUAGAUAGGUAGAUAUCGCCAUUGAUACGAUAGCUCGAUAGUGUUGGAGAAAACGUAGAGACAAGUAGAAGAUAUGGCACGGCACGAUACGCGGACAACGACGCUCAUAACGAGUUAAUGGGGUUUUAUAGAAGCUACGAUGGAGGCGAUCGAGUUUAGAGAGCUGAAAUCCCGUUCGAGUUCUCUCCUUCUCUCUCUUACACACUCUCUCUGUCUCUCGCUAUGCUUCUAUAUUUCUCUUUAUCUAGAUGAUACAUAUAUAGACAGAGAUACAAUGACUCUCGAUUCGAUCGUGUUCUUCCUGCUCUUGCGAGAAUAGUCUUUGUUUACUCGUCGUUUCGUUUAUCUUCCCUGUUAUUUCCUUUCCUUACGACGUUACAGAGCGUAAAUAGUAUCGCCGGUAGGACGUUAAACUUCAUUCCAAUUUACGUUUAUCCUGGACGAACAGAUCGAACGAUAUAAAUUUAUCGAUCGAGUUUCGUUUAUCAAUGGAAGAAAAGAGAAGAAACGAUAAUAAUGAAAGACGAACUGUGACAACUUUACGAUAUUAAAUUGAUAGAAUCGAUUUUCUGAACGACUCUCGAUGUCUUGACUUCGGUUGUUUUUCUUUUUUUUUUUUCGUACGAAUAAAACGAAAUUUCGUACACACGCGUGCGCGUAAAAAUGAGUUCAUUGCUAAGUAAGUAAGUUUAAGAAUUGAAAGAUAUGGAAGAGAUUACGAGAAUAAGUACCUAUCGAUUAAACGAACAUUUCGUAGCGUCGUUGCGUCCGUGCGUUUGAUGAAAAAAAAAAAAAAAAAAAAUAGAAAAAGAAAAAACAACAAAAAAAAGAGCAAAAGAAAAAGAGACACAAAAAAAAGCAAAAUCAAGAGAAAAAGGAAGAACAAUACGAAAAUUCUGAUGAAAGAUGUAAAAUUUUUUUGGCAAUAUUAAAGUCGUUGAUCGAUAAUCAUACUUCGCGUCAUGCCCAUAGCAAUGUAUCCGUAAAAAUAAACGAUAAAAUGGACGAGUUGAGAUCUUCUAAUAAGGCAUUGUAAUUCGUUGGUACUAAUAACGAUCAUUAAGUGGCUAAGCUGGGCGAACAAUCGUGCGUAUGUAUGUAUAUGUGUGUGUGUGUGAAAGAGAGAAAGAGAGGGAGAAUAUGUUUUCGUGUGUAUAUGGUUACAAGUGUGUAUGAUCAUACGAAAGAGAGAACGUUCGAAUAAAAAGUUCGAUGGAAUGACAACGUGAAAGAUCAAGAGAACGAAAUAGAAAAUUCAUUUAAUGUCGAUAUUCGCUGUUCACUAUUUGUAAGAUUCGGGAGAAGAAUACAAUAAAAUUCAUAGUACUUAA